AUUGCUUCUCGGCCUUUUGGCUAAGAUCAAGUGUAGAAACUGGUCCAUUUCUUCUGGGUCGUCCAGUUUGUUGGCAUAGCAUUCUUUUACAGUUUUUUGUAUUUCUGUGGCAUUGGUUAUUCUCU
rnacentral:snRNA from 1 species